rnacentral:tRNA from 1 species
GAGGGUGUAGCUGAGUGGCAGAGUGCGUGCCUAGUAUGCACAAGGUUCCGGGUUUAAUCCCUAGCACCUCCA